GAUGAACGCUGGCGGCGUGCCUAAUACAUGCAAGUCGAGCGAACCACUUCGGUGGUGAGCGGCGAACGGGUGAGUAACACGUAGGUGAUCUGCCCAUCAGACGGGGACAACGAUUGGAAACGAUCGCUAAUACCGGAUAGGACGAAAGUUUAAAGGUGCUUCUAGCACCGCUGAUGGAUGAGCCUGCGGCGCAUUAGCUAGUUGGUAGGGUAAAGGCCUACCAAGGCGACGAUGCGUAGCCGACCUGAGAGGGUGAACGGCCACACUGGGACUGAGACACGGCCCAGACUCCUACGGGAGGCAGCAGUAGGGAAUCUUCGGCAAUGGGCGAAAGCCUGACCGAGCAACGCCGCGUGAAUGAUGAUGGCCUUCGGGUUGUAAAAUUCUAUUAUAAGGGAAGAACGGCUUUAGUAGGAAAUGGCUAGAGUGUGACGGUACCUUAUGAGAAAGCCACGGCUAACUACGUGCCAGCAGCCGCAGUAA
rnacentral:rRNA from 1 species